AACCAGCACCUCAAGUGGUCAGGAUGAUUAUUGGGCCUAAAGCAUCCGUAGCCUGUUCUGUAAGUUUUCGGUUAAAUCUAUGCGCUCAACGUAUAGGCUGCCGAAAAUACUGCAGAACUAGGGAGUGGGAGAGGUAGACGGUACUCGGUAGGAAGGGGUAAAAUCCUUUGAUCUAUUGAUGACCACCUGUGGCGAAGGCGGUCUACCAGAACACGUUCGACGGUGAGGGACGAAGCCUAGGGGCACGAACCGG
rnacentral:rRNA from 1 species